rnacentral:rRNA from 1 species
UACGUAGGGGGCAAGCGUUUGUCCGGAUUUAUUGGGCGUAAAGCGCUCGCAGGCGGUCCGAUGCGUCGUGCGUGAAAGACCCCCGGCUCAACUGGGGAGGGUCGUGCGAUACGGUCGGACUCGAGGCCAGUAGGGGGGACGCGGAAUUCCGGGUGUAGUGGUGGAAUGCGUAGAGAUCCGGAGGAACACCAGCGGCGAAGGCGGCGUCCUGGACU